rnacentral:rRNA from 1 species
GAUGAACGCUGGCGGCGUGCCUAAUACAUGCAAGUCGAACGCAGUGGGGACGGGUGAGUAACACGUGGGUAACCUCCCAUCAGAGGGGAUAACACUUGGCAACAGGUGCUAAACCGAUACUGAUGGAUGGACCCGCGGUGCAUUAGCUAGUUGGUGAGGUAACGGCUCACCAAGGCCACGCUGGAUAGCCGAUCUGAGAGGGGUAUCGUCGAAACUGGGAAUGAGACACGGACCAGACUCCUACGGGAGGCAGCAGUAGGGAAUCUGCGGCAAUGGACGAAAGUCUGACCGAGCGAAACCGCGUGAGUGAAGAAGGUGUUCGGAUCGUAAAACUCUGUUGUUAGAGAAGCGGUAUCUAACCAGAAAGCCACGGCUAACUACGUGCCAGCAGCCGCAGUAAUUC